rnacentral:rRNA from 1 species
CCUACGGGAGGCAGCAGUGGGGAAUAUUGGACAAUGGGCGAAAGCCUGAUCCAGCCAUGCCGCGUGUGUGAAGAAGGCCUUCGGGUUGUAAAGCACUUUCAGUGGGGAAGAAAGCCUUGGGGCUAAUACCCUCGAGGAAGGACAUCACCCACAGAAGAAGCACCGGCUAACUCCGUGCCAGCAGCCGCGGUAAUACGGAGGGUGCGAGCGUUAAUCGGAAUUACUGGGCGUAAAGCGCGCGUAGGCGGUCUGAUAAGCCGGUUGUGAAAGCCCCGGGCUCAACCUGGGAACGGCAUCCGGAACUGUCAGGCUAGAGUGCAGGAGAGGAGGGUAGAAUUCCCGGUGUAGCGGUGAAAUGCGUAGAGAUCGGGAGGAAUACCAGUGGCGAGGGCGGCCUUCUGGACUGACACUGACGCUGAGGUGCGAAAGCGUGGGUAGCAAACAGGAUUAGAUACCCUAGUAGUC